UACUCCUACGGGAGGCAGCAGUGGGGAAUAUUGCACAAUGGGCGAAAGCCUGAUGCAGCGACGCCGCGUGCGGGAUGACGGCCUUCGGGUUGUAAACCGCUUUCAGCAGGGAAGAAGCGCAAGUGACGGUACCUGCAGAAGAAGCGCCGGCUAACUACGUGCCAGCAGCCGCGGUAAU
rnacentral:rRNA from 1 species